rnacentral:rRNA from 1 species
AACGAACGCUGGCGGCAUGCCUAACACAUGCAAGUCGAACGAAGGCUUCGGCUCUAGUGUCGCACGGGUGCGUAACGCGUGAGAAUCUGCCUUUUGGUUGGGAAUAACAGCUGGAAACGGCUGCUAAUACCGGGAGAUUACGAAAAUCCAAAGAUUUAUCGCCAGGGGAUGAGCCCGCGUUGGGUUAGGUAGUUGGUGGGGUAAAGGCCUACCAAGCCGCCGAUCCAGAGCUGGUCUGAGAGGAGGAACAGCCACACUGGGACUGAGACACGGCCCAGACUCCUACGGGAGGAAGCAGUGGGGAAUAUUGGACAAUGGGCGCAAGCCUGAUCCAGCAAUGCCGCGUGAGUGAUGAAGGCCCUAGGGUAGUAAGGCUGUUUUACCCGGGAAGAUAAUGACGGUACCGGGAGAAUAAGCCCCGGCUAACUACGUG